rnacentral:lncRNA from 1 species
CUGAAAUCAUCCAUCCCACUAAGGGCUGCAAUUCAGCUUAUGAGCUGUAAUCACAUCAAUUAACCUUUGUUCCAUUUAACAUUAGGAGGGCCACAGAAUUACAGUGUUCGUAAUUAACCUCCUGGAUACAGAUGCAUCCAAAAACAAAGAGGCAUCCCUGUGUCUCCCAGGCCUGUGCAAAGGCAGGGCCAGAGUGCUGGGGGCAGAGAGGGACGAAGCAUCCAAUUUCUCCAGCAGCGUGCCAGAGGGACGGUGGUACCUCUGCUGGAGGUGGUGGCUGGGAGACCCCGAAGGCUUGCUGUGCAGUAGCCAAGAGCAUUUUCUGUCCAUCCCUUCUCCGUGCUGUUCUGCUCCAAAGCUGCUUAUGCAAAGCGUUCAAUAAAUACCCCCUGAAACGUGGAGGAGAUGAACAAGGUAAUGUGAAGAAUAAUGAAAUGUCCCUCAGCCUCCGGGGAAGCAGUAUUGACCAGCCAUGGAGAGAGCUUGUAAUGAGGCCCACUUUACCCAGAGAGAACAGUAAUAGCCUUCCCUUCCGCAGCCCCCCUCGCCCCCCCGUAAAUUGUGUUUGCUCAAGAAAAUGAUUUGUUCAGGAAAGGAGCCAGGCAGCGGGUGCUGGCUGGAGGAGCCAGCGAGGAGGCAAGGAGAAGGGCUGGGGGGAGAGUCAUGGGCCAUGUGUGGCUUCCCAAAGGUCGGUAGCUGUUGCAAAUGAGAUGUGCUGUGUCAAAAUGCCCCUCUGCAUCCCUCUGGCCCAGGAGGAUGGGGGAAGGAGAAUUUAGGGACAUGGGAGCUAGAUGUGGCAGCAGGGGUGGAUCCUGUGUCCCGUGAAAGCCACCCUCAUCCCAAAAGCUUCCCUUUGCCUCACCCAAACCUCUCCGUUCAGUCCUCUGUUCUUUGCACCGAUGGUGAGAUCUCUCUCUGCUGGUCACCCUUGCUCUGCUGGAGCAGGCUCUCAUGACGUGUCUGGAUUCAGUGCACUUGCACAGUGGGUUUACUGCUCACUCUUUGGCCCAUUUAUUGAGCACCGUCUGCCAUAGAGACCCCCAAAGCUGUGGCUGUGGACCCAUUCCUGCAUCUGCAGAGCAUCCGGCAGAGAUUAUACCCUUGCACAAAUAGAGAUGCAACCCAGAAAACUGCCUGCUCAGCAGCAGGCUGCUCAGCCCACCAGGGCUGCAGCUUCCCACCCACAGCUGCUCUUGUUUUCUAGCCCGUGACCAGCAGCCUCUUCAGAGUGCCCCUUUUUUCAACAUCAUGGGGGUUUUCUAAGGCUGCUCAUUUGGUUUUAACCAUGCUAUCUGUUCAAGGCACCACCCUGUCUACACUAACCUUUAUUGCAUUAUUCCCAUGUCUUCCAGUCCUCAUUUCCAUUCCUUGCCCCCUUGGUAUCUGGGGACAUAACAGGUCACUUUGCUUUGCUGUUCUUCCUAUUUGCAUCUCUGCCUUCUGCUGUCAGAGCUUCCUUUGCCUGCUCCCUCCCUGAGCAGCACUCCAUUUGGGAUCAGCAUCUCAUCAGACAGUAAUUCCCUUUGCUUUGGUCCAGUGUACAAAGUGACAGACCCUCUCAAAUUGAGCUGGGACUUUUGU